AUUAAUCUUGGCUCAGUGCACGAGCGCGUUUGACAGACAGAAGAUGCAUUUUGACGAGCUUCUCGGGGUCUUGGGAGAAUUUGGACCGUAUCAAAAAUUCGUCUACUUUCUCGUUUGCCUGCCAUCUAUUAUAGCGGCGUUUCAUAUGAUGCAAGUUGCCGAAUUAUCCAAAUGACACCUUCCUCAGUCAAGGAGCGGUCCAUGAUGACCUAGUUAAGGCCUUCAUUCCCACAGAGCUCAAUGCGGACAAUGAGGUCACCUACAAACAGUGUUACAUCUUCUCUACGCCCGCGGCUGUCAAUGUCACCGGCGGACCAGAGCAAAGCUGCAGCGACUGGGUCUAUGACAAGACGGUGUACGAAAACACGUUCGCAUCAGAGCAAAAUCUAAUUUGUGGCAAGGCAAUAUGGGCGUCAAAUGCAAAGAUGAUUUUCUUCGCUGGUGUGUUUGUGGGUGCACUUCUGCUCGGGGCGUUAUCGGACAAAAUAGGGCGGAAGAAGACGCUGAUCCUAUCUGUCCUGGGUCUGCUGGCCUCCAGCCUCGCCGUGGCAUGGGCAGACAAUUUCUACCUGUUCUGUGUACUCAGGUUUAUCGUCGGAUUCUGCUGUGCCGGAACCUUCAUGUCGGCAUUUGUCCUGGGUAUGGAGAUUGUGGGCCCCUCUAAGCGGCUGUGGGCCGGUGUGGUGAUAGAGUAUUUCUUUGCCCUGGGACUAGUGCUUCUGUGUCUCGUGGGGUACCUCGUUAGAGAGUGGAAGUACAACGAAAUCGUCCUGUCCGUACCCUCAGCCUUUAUACUGGUUUAUUGGUGGUUGCUGCCCGAAUCCCCUCGGUGGCUAAUCAACCGAGGCAAAUUCGAAGAAGCCAAGGUCAUCAUCCGUAAAAUCGCCAAACGAAACAAGGUCGAGGUCACAGAGAAGCAGCUGGAUUCACUGGAGUGUGACGAAACAGCGACUGGUCAGCUCUGGCACUUGUUCACAUCCAGGGUGCUGUUUGUCCGCACAAUUGUCAUCUUCAUAAACUGGUGUGUUGUGAGCAUGGUAUAUUACGGAUUGUCUUUAAAUUCCGGAAGCCUGGCCGGCGACUUUUAUCUGAACUUUUUCCUGACUGGUCUGGUGGAAUUUCCGGCCUAUACUCUCUGCCUUGUGCUGCUAGAUCGAACCGGAAGGAAGAAACUUCACUGCGCUUGCAUGGUGCUAGGGGGACUAGCUUGUAUCAGUACCAUUUUUACAGUCCUGUAUCUAGAAAAACGUCAUCAAAUAUACUCCACCGUUAUCCUGGCUAUGCUGGGUAAGAUCGGCGCCGCCGCCGCCUUUGCCGUCAUUUACGUCUGGUCGGCGGAGCUUUAUCCUACGGUGGUCCGGAAUGUCGGAAUGGGCGCCAGUUCCUCGUGUGCCCGUAUAGGAGGAAUGGUGUCUCCAUAUAUAGCAGAUCUGAGUACUUUAGUGGAUGGCCAUUUUGGACAAGCUCUUCCGUUGGUUGUAUUUGGGGCUUCUUCCGUAAUUGCCGGACUACUAUCACUGAUUUUACCGGAAACACUAGGAGCCAACUUACCGGAAACCAUAGAGGAUGGCAAAGCAUUCCCAAAUCAUGAAAAAAAAUCUGCGAAAUACCAAGAGAACGGGUCCUCCAUCACUAUGAACAACGAAGCUUUUUCACCUGAGGAUUGCACGAAAUUUUAAAUAUAUAUACUUAAUGAUAAUCCAACUCAAAGUGAACUCAAUUUUUUUUUAUACAUAGACAUGCAUCUGUGAUUUUCAUGGCCCCGUUCGUAAUGCUUUGAUUGUAAUUCAUAUCACAUAUGGUAAAACCACUUGAAUAUAGUUCAUUGUUCUGGGUGCAAAUAGCCUACUUACUAUAUGUAUAUGUAUUGUCAAUGUCAAUAAAAAUAAACAAAAUGUAAAAAGC
rnacentral:misc_RNA from 1 species